GAUGAAGAACGUAGCGAAAUGCGAUAAGUAGUGUGAAUUGCAGAAUUCAGUGAAUCAUCGAAUCUUUGAACGCACAUUGCGGCCAUAGGUAUUCCUUUGGCCAUGCCUGUUCGAGCGUCAUUUACACCCUCAAGCCUAGCUUGGUGUUGGGCGCCUGUCCCGCCGUUUUCGCGCGCGGACUCGCCUCAAAGUCAUUGGCGGCGGUCGUGCCGGCCCCCUCGCGCAGCACAUUUGCGCUUCUCGGAGGCCCGGCGGAUCCGCGCUCCAGCAAGACCUUUCACGACUUGACCUCGGAUCAGGUAGGGAUACCCGCUGAACUUAAGCAUAUCAAUAAGCGGAGGA
rnacentral:misc_RNA from 1 species